rnacentral:rRNA from 1 species
UGGGGAAUAUUGCACAAUGGGCGCAAGCCUGAUGCAGCCAUGCCGCGUGUGUGAAGAACGCCUUCGGGUUGUAAAGCACUUUCAGCGGGGUGGAAGGCGAUAAGGUUAAUAACCUUGGCAAUUGACGUUACCGACAGAAGAAGCACCGGCUAACUCCGUGCCAGCAGCCGCGGUAAUACGGAGGGUGCAAGCGUUAAUCGGAAUUACUGGGCGUAAAGCGCACGCAGGCGGUUGAUUGAGUCAGAUGUGAAAUCCCCGGGCUUAACCCGGGAAUUGCAUCUGAUACUGGUCAGCUAGAGUCUUGUAGAGGGGGGUAGAAUUCCAUGUGUAGCGGUGAAAUGCGUAGAAAUGUGAGGAAUACCGGUGGCGAAGGCGGCCCCCUGGACAAAGACUGACGCUCAGGUGCGAAAGCGUGGGGAGCAAACAGG